rnacentral:misc_RNA from 1 species
AAGUCGUAACAAGGUUUCCGUAGGUGAACCUGCGGAAGGAUCAUUAACACUUUUUUAUAAUUUAAAUUUCUUUCUUUCGUUAAAAAGAGAAAGAAAUUUAUAUUAAAAAACCCCACAAUUUUGGAUGAAUUUAAUUAAUUUAAUUUUUAUUUAUUAUUUAAUUUUUUAUAACUAAAAUAUUUUAGACUAAAAUCUAUUUUAUAUAAAUUUAUUUAUAAUUUAAAAAACAACUCUUAACAACGGAUAUCUUGGCUCUC